rnacentral:misc_RNA from 1 species
UCGUCAAUGUCAUUGGGAAGAUCAAAAUUUACUACAUGAGCCACAUGAGGAAUGUCAAGACCACGAGCUGCCACAUCUGUUGCUACUAAAAUUGGUGUCUUGCCACUUUUGAAUGAUCUUAGUGCCAUUUCCCUUUCCUGUUGCGUCCUAUCACCAUGAAUUGUUGUCGCAGGAAACCCAUUACCACACAACCAAUAUUCCAGAGCAUCGGCUCCCUUCUUUGUCUCCACAAAAACUAAUGUCAAAGAUUG